rnacentral:snoRNA from 13 species
UGGCAGUGGUGAUGAUGACGACAGUUGUCUCUAUCCUGAAAGCCAACGUGUAGGUUUUCAGUCACUACCUCAUCUGAACUGUUC